GAUGAACGCUAGCUACAGGCUUAACACAUGCAAGUCGAGGGGCAGCGGGUUGAAAGCUUGCUUUCAAUGCCGGCGACCGGCGCACGGGUGCGUAACACGUAUCAAACCUGCCUCAUACUCGGGGAUAGCCUUGCGAAAGUAAGAUUAAUACCCGAUGUUGUUGCUUUCUCGCAUGGGAGAGUAACCAAAGAUUCAUCGGUAUGAGAUGGUGAUGCGUCCGAUUAGGUAGUAGGCGGGGUAACGGCCCACCUAGCCUUCGAUCGGUAGGGGUUCUGAGAGGAAGGUCCCCCACACUGGAACUGAGACACGGUCCAGACUCCUACGGGAGGCAGCAGUGAGGAAUAUUGGUCAAUGGGCGAGAGCCUGAACCAGCCAAGUAGCGUGCAGGAUGACGGCCCUCCGGGUUGUAAACUGCUUUUAGUUGGGAAUAAAAAAAGGGACUUGUCCCUUCUUGUAUGUACCUUCAGAAAAAGGACCGGCUAAUUCCGUGCCAGCAGCCGCGGUAAUACGGAAGGUCCAGGCGUUAUCCGGAUUUAUUGGGUUUAAAGGGAGCGUAGGCGGAUUGUUAAGUCAGCGGUUAAAGGGUGUGGCUCAACCAUGCAUUGCCGUUGAAACUGGCGAUCUUGAGUGCAGACAGGGAUGCCGGAAUUCGUGGUGUAGCGGUGAAAUGCUUAGAUAUCACGAAGAACUCCGAUCGCGAAGGCAGGUGUCCGGGCUGCAACUGACGCUGAGGCUCGAAAGUGUGGGUAUCAAACAGG
rnacentral:rRNA from 1 species